GUCUUUUUGAGUUUAAUUUAAAGUCUAAUCUGCCCACUGAUAAGUAUUUAAGGGCCGCAGUAUUUUGACUGUGCAAAGGUAGCAUAAUCAUUAGUCUUUUAAUUGAGGGCUUGUAUGAAUGAUUGGACGAGAUAUAAGCUGUCUCAUAUAAAUUUAAGUAGAAUUUUAUUUUUUAGUUAAAAAGCUAAAAUAAUUUUAAAAGACGAGAAGACCCUAUAGAUCUUUAUAAUUUAUUUUUAAAUUUUUUUAGGUUAUUUUUUAAGUUUAUAAUUUAAAUUAUUUUGUUGGGGUGACAAUGAAAUUUAAUAAACUUUCAUUAUUUUGAGACAUUAAUUUAUGGUUUAUUGAUCCACUAUUAGUGAUUAAAAAUUUAAGUUACCUUAGGGAUAACAGCGUAAUUAUUUUGGAGAGUUCUUAUCGAUAAAAUAGUUUGCGACCUCGAUGUUGGAUUAAGAUUAAUUUUGGGUGUAGCAGCUCAGUUUAUUAAGUCUGUUCGACUUUUAAUUUCUU
rnacentral:rRNA from 1 species